UCCUUAGAUGUUCUGGGCAGCACGCGCGCUACAAUGGUCUUCGCAAACGGAUGCAUUCUCGAAGGAGAAUGCCAAUCUUGGAAUCUAUGCCUUGGUCGGGACAGUUGCUUGCAAUUUUUCGACUCGAACCAGGAAUUCCUUGUAAUCGUGAUUCAUCACAUCACGAUGAAUACGUCCCUGCCCUUUGUACACGCCGCCCGUCGCUCCUACCGAUCGAAGAGUUAGGUGAAUUGUUUUGAUCGAUAAGAUUUGACUAUGGUCAACUCUCGUUGUGAAAUUCUGUGAAUCUGACUGUUUAGAGGAAGGAAAAGUCGUAACA
rnacentral:rRNA from 1 species